rnacentral:tRNA from 1 species
AAUGAUGUGCCUGAUAAAAGGGUAAUUUUGAUAGAAUUAAUAAUGUAAAUUUUACCAUCAUUA